GGAUGGGAAUUGAUUAUGGCUGCCUGGGGCUGAGGAUGGGAAUUGAUUAUGGCUGCCUGGGUCUGGGGAUGGGAAUUGAUUAUGGCUGCCUGGGGCUGGGGAUGGGAGAUGAUUUUUUGGAGGUUGAUGCAAACACUUUAAAACUGGAUUGUGUCUUGUUUUCACAAUUCUAUAAAUUCACUGAAUUGAUUUGUGCACUUAAAAACAGGUAAAUGUUAUGGUAUAUACUGAGCUAUAUAAAUUAUGUCUCGAUAAAGCUGUUAAAAAAUAGAAAACAAAUGUCUGCAGACCAUUGUUUGAAGACUGAGCAAGGGGGACCAAAAAUACAUGUAAAAAUUCCUUGCGCCCACACAAAGGUGGAGGUUGAAAAAGGCUGGAGAAGGGACAGAAUAAAUGCAUUUAUUCAGUAAACACUUUUGAGUAUUUACUCUGUGGAAACUCCUCAGGAUGUCUGGAAACAGACAGCUUUCAAGGAGAAGGAAGAACAAGACAAAAGACUGAUGUAGUUAUGGUCAGGUCAGUUUAUGAUGCCGACAGCAGGUUGAGGUUAACGAUUUCUGUGUUCCCCUAAAUGGCGCAAGCAGAGCCAUGGGAUUAGAGCGAGAUGGGAAGAAGCAUAGGAGAGAGGGAGUAGUUAGGGUGAAAAGAGCAGGUGAGCAGAGGACCUUUUUUCAGAUGCAAGGCUAAGGUUGGAUAUGUUCAACAUAGAUGGAGAAAGUAUAUUCUGGGGAUGUCAAACAAAAAUGGAUAAUCCAGGAGUUACUUUUUUUUUUUUUUUUUUUUUUGAGAUGGAAUCUAACUUUGUCGCCCAGGCUGGGUGAGAGACAGAAUGACG
rnacentral:lncRNA from 10 species